rnacentral:rRNA from 1 species
CCUACGGGGGGCAGCAGUGGGGAAUAUUGGGCAAUGGGCGCAAGCCUGACCCAGCAACGCCGCGUGAAGGAAGAAGGCUUUCGGGUUGUAAACUUCUUUUAAGAGGGAAGAGCAGAAGACGGUACCUCUUGAAUAAGCCACGGCUAACUACGUGCCAGCAGCCGCGGUAAUACGUAGGUGGCAAGCGGUGUCCGGAUUUACUGGGUGUAAAGGGCGUGCAGCCGGGAAGACAAGUCAGAUGUGAAAUCCCGCGGCUCAACCGCGGAACUGCAUUUGAAACUGUUUUUCUUGAGUACCGGAGAGGUCAUCGGAAUUCCUUGUGUAGCGGUGAAAUGCGUAGAUAUAAGGAAGAACACCAGUGGCGAAGGCAGAUGACUGGACGGCAACUGACGGUGAGGCGCGAAAGCGUGGGGAGCAAACAGGAUUAGAUACCCUAGUAGUC